rnacentral:lncRNA from 1 species
ACGGGAAGAAUCCUGUCGGUCAGAGAGAAGAGACGGAUGCUGGUGCUUACCUCUCUUUCGCUCAGUUCGGAGCCCCAGCACACAGAAUAGUGAAGCUAUGAUAGGUCCGCCCCUAUCCAUCACUCUAUUAGUUUAAUCUAGAAUCCCUUGGAUUACCUGUACAGGCACAACCGGAGACUCGCCUCCUAGGUGACUCUGCAUCCUGUCAACUUGACAGGCAGCAUGAACCAGCACAGGAUGCCAAUGCAGAGACGUGGGCGUCGGAGCCCCUCUGAGCAAGAGCCAGGACGAGGGUGCUGGGAGGCCAGCUGAGAGCUUGCUUCCAACGAGGCAGAGAGGACAGUCUGAUGAGGCGGCAUCCACUAGUCUUGAAGGUCUUAAGCUUUGAAACGGAAUGUUAUGACAACCUCAGAAACUGUCACAGGAGUGGGGAAGCUCUUAAAGCAAGGUCAGGAGCAUUUUACAAAAUGGAACCACGCCCCUUUUCAGCUGUCCUGUGGUACCCACUAAGGAGCCGGGUGCUACUUAAAAACACAAAUGAGCCCAUCUGGGGGGCUCUGCUCUCCCCCACACUGAGCUCCUGUUAGAACAUGAAAGGGUGGCUGCUCUCCUCUGCAGUCUUUGGAGAAUGGCCCAUGGCAGACAUUUGCAGACUGAGGGCAGUCAGCAGAGGCUGGAUACAAACAAAACAAGAAGAAAAAGGUUAGCGUUUUAAGACGGUACCUGAAAGGUAUUCGUUAUAAGACGGAGAAGCUGGCAGUGCUUGGACUGAUGCCCUCCUCCCUGUGUGCAGCUAUGCACCACCUGGUACAACCACACACCCCCACUAGAAAAGCUGCCCAUGGGGCCCACAAAGGCACAUCCUGUCCAGUGUCACUGCAGACUUAAAUGUCUGUGCACCGAGUCAUCAAAUGGCAGCCACACAGUCAAGUGUGACUCUGACCUUGAAGAGCCAAGGGGUGACCCGGGUUCUAGAGCCCUCUGUUUAAGGGACAACGUAUUAUAAACACAAAUAAAUCUGGGCUUGCAGAAAUCAGAACACCACAUUCUGGGUUUUUUGUGUACCAGAGUAGACAGUGCAGGGGAGGCUGAGUUCCCACAAGGUGCUAAGCCGGGCACAUCUGCCCUGCCAUGCGGGCCAGAAAUCACACAGAGAAAACUGGACGCUACUCUUCAGGGGACCCUGUGUUGUAGAGGCCCUGUAGGCCUCCCUUGGAUCCUAAGGCCACUUUAUCUGGGACCUGAGCUUGCCUUCACUGAAUUCUGUGGCUUGGCCAAGUAAAUAUUCAAUCCAGGCCAUCCAGCCUCCUGACCUCCAGGGGGCCAUCUGCUCAAUUGUAAAAUAGGAAUGACACUCACCCACCCCCUGGGUUGCUGUGAGAGUGGGAAGAGGCUAACCUUGGGAAGGUAGGAUCACAGAACAAAUCGGGUGGAGGAAUGGCAGGCGGCUUCUAAGCUGUGACUUCUCAAAGUACUUGGCAAGAACCAGACCGUGGUACAAGGCUUAGUCUCUUUGGUUUUGACCUGUCUUUGGUGGCAGGGCAGAGACAUUUUAGGUAAACUGAAUGGGGAGUGGUAUCUGAAUGGCCUUAGAACACAAAAGGGAACAGGAGUUUGAGGGGAACCCCAGCAGCGUGCCUCAGCUGGCUGGCCUGACCUGACUCUCUCCCUAGCCCGUUUCCUUAAUUCAGAGUCAGGGAUUCACAGGAUCCUUUGAAAAGAUCUUGGCAUGAUGGCUACAGAACGGAGGCUCACUGAAAACCUCCACUAGGUUUUCAGAAAAUCAAUUGUUUUUCUAUGUGCUAACAGAGACCUGGAAUACAUCUUAACGCCUUAAUUUCUAAAGUGUGCAAAACCUUGGAAAAGUAACAGGAUGUUCAAAACGUU